rnacentral:rRNA from 1 species
AUGAACGCUGGCGGCGUGCCUAAUACAUGCAAGUCGAGCGAACAGAUGAGGAGCUUGCUCCUCUGACGUUAGCGGCGGACGGGUGAGUAACACGUGGAUAACCUACCUAUAAGACUGGGAUAACUUCGGGAAACCGGAGCUAAUACCGGAUAAUAUAUUGAACCGCAUGGUUCAAUAGUGAAAGACGGUUUUGCUGUCACUUAUAGAUGGAUCCGCGCCGCAUUAGCUAGUUGGUAAGGUAACGGCUUACCAAGGCGACGAUGCGUAGCCGACCUGAGAGGGUGAUCGGCCACACUGGAACUGAGACACGGUCCAGACUCCUACGGGAGACAGCAGUAGGGAAUCUUCCGCAAUGGGCGAAAGCCUGACGGAGCAACGCCGCGUGAGUGAUGAAGGUCUUCGGAUCGUAAAACUCUGUUAUUAGGGAAGAACAAAUGUGUAAGUAACUAUGCACGUCUUGACGGUACCUAAUCAGAAAGCCACGGCUAACUACGUG